GGGGGGAACGUACGGGACGGGGCUCAUCGUUGCCAACUACACCAAGGGACAGGAGCUGAGCAUCGAGGUGGAGCUCACGAAGAGCCACUUGGGGUACUUCGAGUUCCGCCUCUGCGUGAACAACGAAACCCCCC